GAUGAACGCUGGCGGCGUGCCUAAUACAUGCAAGUCGAGCGAACAGACGAGGAGCUUGCUCCUCUGACGUUAGCCGCGGACGGGUGAGUAACACGUGUAUAACCUACCUAUAAGACUGGUAAAACUUCGGGAAACCGGAGCUAAUCCCGGAGAAUAUAUUGAACCGCGUGGUUCAAUAGUGAAAGACGGCUUUGCUGUCACUUAUCGAUGCAUCUGCGCCGCAUUAGCUAGUUGGUAAGUUAACGGCUUACCAAGGCAACGAUGCGUAGCCGACCUGAGAGAGGGAUCGGCCACAUGGGAACUGAGACACGGUCCUGACUCCUACGGGAGGGAGCAGUAGGGAAUCUGACGCAGUGGGCGAAAGCCUGACGGAGCAACGCCGAGUGAGUGAUGAAGGUCUUCGGAUCGUAAAACUCUGUUAUUAGGGAAGAACAAAUGUGUAAGUAACUAUGCACGUCUUGACGGUACCUAAUCAGAAAGCCACGGCUAACUACGUG
rnacentral:rRNA from 1 species